AGGCGGCAACCCCGUUACCCCGCAUAGCGCAGCCAUGGGCAGCCUGCAGACGCAGCGAAUGCUAAGCGGCGUUGUGCCCCCUGCUCCCUGCCAGAAAGCGAGGCUGCCCUUUAGCCGCUCAACGCGAUACAGCUUUUUGCUUGGGAGAGGGGGGGAUCAUUACUUCCCAAUGUUCCCCCCAGCUCUGCCCGCCGCACCCCGCUGCCCCAAAGGAGGGCCCCAUUCGCCAGCACCACAAGCACGACGGGAUUGGCGGCGCGCCCCCUUUCUUCCGCCCCGCCCCGGCGCGGCGCCCCCCCCCGGUCGUUUUGUCCCCGGCGGCCGUUGUUCUGCGCUUGCGGCCUCCGCGGGCGGUGCGGAAGGGGGCACCGGCGUUCCCCGCGCCCCACGGGCCAGGGGCAAGCCGCCCACGCCCCGCGGCGGCAAGGGGUGGGGGGGGGGGGCGCCAACCCCCCACCACCUGGCGGCAGCCCCAAAACCGACGCGGGCCGCCGCCCCCGGCCGGGGAGGCCACACCCAAGCCCUGACAGCGGCGCAGGCACCAAAGCGCCCCGCCCAGCGCCAGCCGCACCCCGCCCUUUAUUUUCAUCACGGCAACGUUUCACUACGUCAUUAAUUCGAGGUCAUGGCUUGGCAAGCUGACCGGCCUCGACGCAACUUGAUCAACCGAAUCGAAUCUCGACCCCAUUCGCUACGCGGAGGCCUACCCCAAGAGCAAGGGUAUCGGCUGUGUUCUGGUGUACGGCCACAGGAAAGACAAGGCACGCAUCUGAGUCACCCUGCAAAGGGCCAACGGUGAGAUGCAGGGCGGCAUUGUGCCCCCCUGGGCACACAGAAGUGGGGCGCAAACUUGUUCACCAUGAAGGAUGACAAGGUAUGCGGGCAUAACGGCAUCAGUAUGAAGGGCUUCGUCGCGGGUGCUGUUUUGCUCACCUCAGUGUUUCUGAAAAUGAAGCGUAUGGAGUCCGUCCGCUACGCCUUCUCCUUCGACGAGGAAGUCGACUGCAUUGUUGUCCCAUAUCUUACCUCGCACCUCAAGGAGCACGGCUUCAUGACAGACGGCUGCAUCACAGAAGAGGUGCGACUCGCAUGUCUGUGUGCACUGCGAACACGGGUUUUGCUUCAGGGAAGGUUGAGGUAGAGGGUAAGGUGAUUCACUCCUCCUUGGUGGCGAGGAAGAGCUGCAACGUCAUCGAGUACACGGCUUCGAUCAUUCCCAAGAUCCGUUAGGCGGUGCUUGGGCUCCGCGAACGGGUCGGGGUGCACGCUAGCCCGCGCCGCUGCCGCGCCGGUCGACUCCCCACACUUGUACCCCCAUGCCUACCUGUAUGAUUGAGUGUGGCAGCGCCGCAAGCACGGUCCCGGCAGUGCGCAACUUCGUUCUCCGCGUUUGUUUCACCGACCCCAUCGUGCCCAUGAAGACACUUUGAUCACCGAAAUCGGCAACACUGUACUCCCGAAGAUGCGGCAGAAGUGUCUAGACGCCACGGCAGAGCUUUUGAAAACGGUGUUUAUCGAAUCCCUCAAUGCCAGCAAGGAGGCCGCACUCACGACGGGUGUGCGAUGCCUCUGCAAGGUUGAGAUUGUAUGGAAGAAGAGCGACAGCAUUGAGUCGGGCCUCUUCCAGGAGUGCCUCGAGAUUCCCUUAGUGAUUGUGACGCCAGGGUCGAUCCAAGUGGGGCACACAGCAAGCGAGCAUGUGCAUGUGGCCGUGAUGGAGCAUUGCUGGAUCUUAAGCAGGCAACGACUCCGCGUAGGAGGGUAGUUAAUUGUCUCUCUUUGUUCUUUUCAGCAUUGAAAGCGCUUCGUACUUGUGCCGCCAAGCUUGUGGGACAUCCAGAUGACGUGCUCUGCGGGUCUUCACAGCAUUCGAUGUUUGUGUUCUCUCACCUCGACCUUCAUUCUUCAUUGAUCCAGGGAAGGAGGCGCAGCGCGUCUGAUAUCGGCCUUCCCUUCUACUUUUGUUCUUACUCCUGCUGUUGAGGAACUGCGCGCACCCACGUUGUACGCUUUCUCUCUCUCUUGGUUUUCCUCGCUUGCUCUUUCUCAGUGACUCUCGCUCUUCCCUGAUAACCUGUCUGCCAUACGAUCACGAUCCUUGCGCCACUCUAACAACGGCGCUGCUUACGCAUGUAUUGACAAAGAUAGCACGCAAAUCCACACACACGCACAGGAUAGGCUGCAAGCCACGUGCAUGCAGCCGCAGUCCGUAGUAGACAGCUGGUUUGUCGUGAAAGAGGAUCCCCGUCUGCUUGGCAUGCCGACGAUGUGAAUGUGAUGCACAUUAGGGGGCACAGGAGCAACUCACCCGUCUCUCCCCUCUUCCAUGCUACCGUGCACCCUUCAGUCCUUUCCUCCGUUCCUCCUGUUUUCAUACGGUGUUGCCCUUGACACUCCGCCUAG
rnacentral:misc_RNA from 1 species